rnacentral:rRNA from 1 species
UACGGGGGGGGCAAGCGUUAAUCGGAAUUACUGGGCGUAAAGCGUGCGCAGGCGGUUUUGUAAGUCAGAUGUGAAAUCCCCGGGCUUAACCUGGGAACUGCGUUUGAAACUACAAGGCUAGAGUGUGGCAGAGGGGGGUGGAAUUCCACGUGUAGCAGUGAAAUGCGUAGAGAUGUGGAGGAACACCGAUGGCGAAGGCAGCCCCCUGGGUUAACACUGACGCUCAGGCACGAAAGCGUGGGGAGCAAACAGG